AGGAGAGAUGGCUUAAAGGGGUACGCGGGCUUCUUCCGCGAAUUCGCUCCAGGAUGGGACUGCGUCCGAUCAGGCUGUUGGCGGGGUAAUGGCCCACCAAACCUGUAACCGGUACGGGCCUUGAGAGAGGUGGCCCGGAGAUGGACACUGAGAGAAGGGUCCAGGUCCUACGGGGCGCAGCAGGCGCGAAACCUUCGCAAUGCGCGAAAGCGUGACGAGGUUAAUCCGAGUGACUCCCGCUGAGGGGGUCUUUUGUCAGCUGUAAAUAGGCAGGCGAAUAAGGGGAGGGCAAGCCUGGUGUCAGCCGCCGCGGUAAUACCAGCUCCUCGAGUGGUCGGGGCGAUUAUUGGGCCUAAAGCAUCCGUAGCCGGUUCCGUAGGUCCUCUGUUAAAUCCAACCGCUUAACGGUUGACCUGCAGAGGAUACCGCGGGACUAGGAGGCGGGAGAGGCGGACGGUACUCCGCGUGUAGGGGUAAAAUCCUUUGAUCCGCGGAAGACCACCAGUGGCGAAGGCGGUCCGCCAGAACGCGCUCGACGGUGAGGGAUGAAAGCUGGGGGAGCGAACCGGAUUAGAUACCCGGGUAGUCCCAGCCGUAAACGAUGCUAGCUAGAUGAUUCAUUCGCAAGUCGCGAAUGAAGUGUCGCAGGGAAGCCGUUA
rnacentral:rRNA from 1 species